rnacentral:tRNA from 1 species
GAAAAUUUAGUUAAAUAAAUAACAUUAGUUUGUCAAACUAAAAUUAUAGAUAUCUAUAUUUUUCU